rnacentral:rRNA from 1 species
UUGGAGGGCAAGUCUGGUGCCAGCAGCCGCGGUAAUUCCAGCUCCAAUAGCGUAUAUUAAAGUUGUUGCAGUUAAAAAGCUCGUAGUUGAACUUCGGGAUCAAUGGAUUGGUCAUGCCGUUGGUAUGUACUGGUCAUAUUGGUUCUCACCUUCUAAGGAACCUUAAUGUCAUUCAUUUGAUGUUUUGGGGAAUUAGGACUGUUACCUUGAAAAAAUUAGAGUGUUUAAAGCAGGCUAACGCUUGAAUACAUUAGCAUGGAAUAAUGAAAUAGGACAUCGCAUUCUAUUUUGUUGGUUUCUAGGAUCGAUGUAAUGAUUAAUAGGGAUAGUUGGGGGCAUUAGUAUUCAAUUGUCAGAGGUGAAAUUCUUGGAUUUAUUGAAGACUAACUACUGCGAAAGCAUUUGCCAAGGAUGUUUUCAUUAAUCAGGAACGAAAGUUAGGGGAUCGAAGACGAUCAGAUACCGUCGUAGUCUUAACCAUAAACUAUGCCGACUAGGGAUCGGAUGAUGUUGAUUUUUUAAUGACUCAUUCGGCACCUUACGGGAAAC